GGAAAAUUUACACCGAUUACGUGCAUAUUAUAUUCACAAAAGCAUACCGUUUAUUUGCGUGAAAUCAAAACGUAAUUUCAACUUACUGAAAUAGGAUUUGAGAAGCAAAACAUAAAAGUUUCCGAAUCUGAAUGCAUGGAUAUGGAUGCAUCCCUUUCGAUUUUUGAACAAAAGCAAGUUAUUCUUUGAAUCAAACCUUGCAGGACAAACAUGUAAAUAAUGUUAAUUAGUUUCUGAAAUCAAAAUAUAAUCAAAAGAAAUCAGAAAAUUGUAGGAAGAAAGAUGCAAAUGAUGAAUUUUUGGUCGAGGCAAGUGUUUGACACUUGGUCCUUGAGAUGAAUUUGCCCUACAUCGGUGCUAACGGGUUUUCGACAAUCAUCUCCCAAGAUAUAACGACCACGUCAAGUCAUAGGAGCACUCCAAAUGGUUUCGACCAACGAACUCAAACGGAAUUCAUUCUCUACUAAGGAAAUGCAUGAAAGUGCUAUGAAAUUAGAAAGGAGGAAAGUGUAAGAGGAUAAUGAAUGUUCA
rnacentral:lncRNA from 1 species